rnacentral:lncRNA from 10 species
CUCCCCCACACCCUCCUGCAACCCUGCCAGACGCUCAGGCUUCCAAAGCAAGUUUAACCAAUAUCCCUGCAUUGCCACGCCUCUUCAGGCAAGUCAGCUUCUCCCCGCUGGGCCUCAGUUUCACCAUCUAGAAAAUGACUGGGGGAUUGGCCCAGCUGAUCUUUGAGGUCCCUUGGAGCUCUGUGAGUCUGUGAUGAGAAAGGAACCGAGGGUUGUUUUCCCAUCUGUAACCUCAUUAGGAUGUCCACACCAGCGGGCUCCACACGCACAUGCGCUCCGGCAGGUUCCCCUCGGGGACACACACGCACACUGGCAUUGCCCCCUGGCCACACGCUCACGCACACAGUCGCAGCUGUGCCUUUUAAUAUUUAAUGCCAUUGCUGCAAACGCCGCUCCACGCUGACUGCAUCCGUGCCAGGCUCAUUCCUCUCAGGGCGCCAAUUCCCGGCUUGGAGACCAGCUGACAAAUCUUGUUAAAAACCUUCCAGCCCAGUGCAUCUCUCGGAGGAGGGUAAUGUCACGUGCUUGCGAGAUGAGCGAAUGGGUGUCAUUACCAGGCAGCUCCAUUUUCAACGAGGCUCUUUCCACUUGGGGAAAUGGAUGGAAUCACCUAUUGCGUUGGACUGACCUGCUCUCUGGCUUGCAGAAGUCACGGCUCUGGGUGGCACCAAGGCACGAAAUGACACGGACACCUGGCCUGUGUGGGGGCCUUUGUCUGUCCCUCUCUCCCUGCUCCUCCACAGUCAGUAUCCACACUAUGGUUUGAAUGUAUGUAUCUUUCCGACAUUCAUAUGGUUGGAACAUAAACCCCAAGGCAAUGGUAUGAGAAGUUGGGGGGGGCCUUUGGGAGUUGAUUAGGUCAUGAAGGCUCCACCCUUGUGAACGGGAUUAAUGCCCUUAUAGCAAUAAAAGAGCAGGAGGGAACUAGUUAGGCUCAUUGUGAUCUUCCACUCUUCUACCACAUGAGGACACAGUGUUUGUCCCCUCCAGAGGGCAUGGCAAGGCCCCAUCUCGGAAGCAGAGAGAGUCCACACCAGACACUGAAUCUGUUGGCGUCUUGAUCUUGGACUUCCAAUCCUCUAAAACUGUGAGAAAUACAUUUCUAUGGUUUGUAAAUUACUCCAUCGGUGGCAUUUUGUUGUACCAGCAGGAAGGGACUAUGACAUACACCACGGAGGCCACUGCUGCUACAGUGGCUAGCAGAGAGGAUCAUGGGUGGUUCCAGCUCUCAUGCCAGCAAAGGGUCUCAUCCCUGACCCCUAGUCCAGUAUGCUGUGGUCUCCAAGCCCACAGAAAGGCCCUCCCUCCAAACCCCAGCUUUCAGAGUCUAAGGGGCUGACAAAAGGUUAAGGGCUCUAGUUCUGGUCUGAGCUGGGACAGGUGAGCAGGCUACUGUGCAAGAGCUGCUAAAUGCAGAGUCCCCAGGUAUCGAGGUUACCCGGAAAAGUUGGCCUUCCCAAAGCUGCAGUAGGAUCAGCAUGUCCGGUUCAGUGCUGACUGUGCAGGCUUGGGGCCUAUCCCUUGAACUCUGGAAGGGUAUUUGCAAGAUGGACCUCCUGUCCUCAUCUUCCUUCUACCUUUCAGCCUCUUGGUCCUGUGUCACCAGACGGGCUCAGAGCAUUCCUGAGCAACUUUGUGGUUCUGAGCGUCUCUAAGAAACGAGGCCUGGGAGAGGGCAGGGAGGAGGGGAGAGGGGACGGUCAGGUGGGGUGUGGGGGAUUGCAAAACAAAGACACGCUCAUUUGCCAUUUACCAAAGACUUUUUUUUUCUUUUUCUUUUAAAGCUGUUGUUUCCUCAAGGGAAAACUUUAUCUGUGUGUGGGUAAAAUGUUGCUCUCUUAACGAAUCGAAAGCAGAACAUGAGG